rnacentral:rRNA from 1 species
AUUGAACGCUGGCGGCAUGCCUUACACAUGCAAGUCGAACGGCAGCACGGGAGCAGUCCUGGUGGCGAGUGGCGAACGGGUGAGUAACAUAUCGGAACGUGCCCAGUCGUGGGGGAUAACGCAGCGAAAGCUGUGCUAAUACCGCAUACGAUCUAUGGAUGAAAGCGGGGGAUCGCAAGACCUCGCGCGAUUGUAGCGGCCGAUAUCAGAUUAGCUAGUUGGUGAGGUAAAGGCUCACCAAGGCGACGAUCUGUAGCUGGUCUGAGAGGACGACCAGCCACACUGGAACUGAGACACGGUCCAGACUCCUACGGGAGGCAGCAGUGGGGAAUUUUGGACAAUGGGCGCAAGCCUGAUCCAGCAAUGCCGCGUGCAGGAUGAAGGCCUUCGGGUUGUAAACUGCUUUUGUACGGAACGAAACGGUCUUUCCUAAUACGAGAGGCUAAUGACGGUACCGUAAGAAUAAGCACCGGCUAACUACGUGCCAGCAGCCGCAGUAA